GACGAACGCUGGCGGCGGGCUUAACACAUGCAAGUCGAACGGAAAGGCCCUACUAUCGUGGGGUGCCCGAGUGGCGAACGGGUGCGUAACAGGUGAGUAACCUGACCUUGACUUUGGUGUAGCUUCAGGAAAGUGGGGUUACUACAGUAUCGCAGCCCCCGUUGCAUGGUAGGGGUUGGAAAGUCUCGGCGGUCGGGGAUGGACUCGCGGCUUAUCAGCUUGUUGGUGGGGUAGUGGCUUACCAAGGCAUUGACGGGUAGCCGGCCUGAGAGGGUGACCGGCCACAUUGGGACUGAGAUACGGCGCAGACUCCUACGGGGGGCAGCAGUGGGGAAUAUUGCACAAUGGGCGGAAGCCUGAUGCAGCAACGCCGCGUGCGGGAUGACGGCCUUCGGGUUGUAAACCGCUUUCGCCUGUGACGAAGCGGGAGUGACGGUAAUGGGUAAAGAAGCACCGGCUAACUACGUG
rnacentral:rRNA from 1 species